rnacentral:lncRNA from 1 species
AAAACCUGGAGAGUCUUCUGGCUCUUCCUGUGCGCCUGUGCUCCUGAUGUAUCCUCUCAGUGACCGCGUCUGCAGCCCGAGGAGAAGUGAGGCAUUCAAGUCCUCUCUAGCUGGGCUCUGCCUGAGGCGAGGCUGCCCUACACUGACCCACCUCAGCAGCUUGCAGAGGUCCCAGGAGAGUCUAGUUUCUCUGGGGAGCCUUGAGAAGGAGCUGUGAUGAGAGAUGCUUGCUUCCCAGAGCCCUGCCUUGUCUCAAAGAGAAGAGAACGAUGACCAAGUUACAGGUAGGUCGGGCUGCUUCCCUGUUCCCCACACGGCUAGGAUUGGGAACAGGACCCCUGCAUGUUGGGC